AUGUGCCGGUGGUGGAGGGCAGCGCCGAGCCUCUCAAGUAUUCAGAACGCACCAUCUUCUGAACUUGCACAUUUAACAUUGGCUGAUAGUAGACAAAUGUACAUGUUCAUGGUGCAGAUUCUGGCAAAGAAGGGCAUGCUGGUCCUAGCGGACAUCAUGGCCAACUCCGGCGGAGUGAUGGUGAGCUACUUCGAGUGGGUGCAGAACAUCCAGGGGUUCAUGUGGGACGAGGAGAAGCCUGAAAUUUUUCUUGUGGAGCGGACCGAAGUAAUUCAUCAAGCUAGCGGCAUUAUUGAUUCUGUUCUUUUUGCUGGCGAGUGUAUGGUGCCGUAUAGAAUGGGGAGCAUGCGUUUGUAA
rnacentral:rRNA from 1 species